UACAGCUUGAAUGUGGUCACUAAAAACUUCAAGUCCUGCGUGUGGCUCCGGCUUCAUGGGAUUCAGGUUCCAGAUGUGGGUGGACCCUUCACCAGCUGUUUACUUGAAGCAUCACACCGGGAGGCAUGAAAAAACAUGGCAAGUUUACUGCCAUAGAGAAGAUUGCUUCCACCGUGUGAGGCAUCACAGACCUGCCUGCCAGGAAGCCCUCCACAGGACCCCCACGGAGGACCCCCCUACCCACACAAGCACUGCCCUGGAUACGGUGUAUAUGGACUGCCUACACAACACCGGCCCACAUGGGUGCGGUGUAACUAAGGGCCAGCUUCCCCCCUCCUCUGACUUCAAUCUGUCUGAGCUCACAGUUCCCGUUCCUCAUAGUCAACAGGGAAGCCCCGUGUGUGACCGUCAUUUCUGGACUUUGAGAACUCUGGGCGUAUGAGGUUCUGGCUUGAUGCUAGGCCUUUGCAGCCUCUUCCGGAAACCUGGGACCCAAGCCAGCGAUGUUUCAUUUUUACUUUUCCAUACUCUGUCCGUGUAGGGACCGGGUGAGGUUUCUAGGCCUUUCUAGAAUUUCAGGAAAUAAUGUAGCUGGGUCUCUUGCCUCCUGCUGUGUUGUCUUAUACAUUAGACCAUAUUACCUGCUCCGUAGUUGAAGUAGGAAAGAUACAUAUUUACAUGGAAGAAGUCCUAAUUGUGGCAACACGAAAUAAGCAAAGAAAGCACGGCUCUUAGAGAAAGAGAGCCAGAUUCAGAUCUCGGGGAAGCUGCUGCUUAGCAGAGCGUUAUUCCUUUUAUAUAUUCCUUUAAUUAAAUCCUCUAGCUCCUACCUUCCACGCAAUGGGACCUUAACAGAAGCCUCAAAGAUCCAAG